GACGAACGCUGGCGGCGUGCUUAACACAUGCAAGUCGAACGGAAAGGCCCUGCUUUUGUGGGGUGCUCGAGUGGCGAACGGGUGAGUAACACGUGAGUAACCUGCCCUUGACUUUGGGAUAACUUCAGGAAACUGGGGUUAAUACCGGAUAGGAGCUCCUGCUGCAUGGUGGGGGUUGGAAAGUUUCGGCGGUUGGGGAUGGACUCGCGGCUUAUCAGCUUGUUGGCGGGGUAGUGGCUUACCAAGGCUUUGACGGGUAGCCGGCCUGAGAGGGUGACCGGCCACAUUGGGACUGAGAUACGGCCCAGACUCCUACGGGAGGCAGCAGUGGGGAAUAUUGCACAAUGGGCGGAAGCCUGAUGCAGCAACGCCGCGUGCGGGAUGACGGCCUUCGGGUUGUAAACCGCUUUCGCCUGUGACGAAGCGUGAGUGACGGUAAUGGGUAAAGAAGCACCGGCUAACUACGUG
rnacentral:rRNA from 1 species